AGUGAACGCUGGCGGUAGGCCUAACACAUGCAAGUCGAACGGCAGCACAGUAAGAGCUUGCUCUUACGGGUGGCGAGUGGCGGACGGGUGAGGAAUACAUCGGAAUCUACUUUUUCGUGGGGGAUAACGUAGGGAAACUUACGCUAAUACCGCAUACGACCUACGGGUGAAAGCAGUGGAUCUUCGGACCUUGCGCGAUUGAAUGAGCCGAUGUCGGAUUAGCUAGUUGGCGGGGUAAAGGCCCACCAAGGCGACGAUCCGUAGCUGGUCUGAGAGGAUGAUCAGCCACACUGGAACUGAGACACGGUCCAGACUCCUACGGGAGGCAGCAGUGGGGAAUAUUGGACAAUGGGCGCAAGCCUGAUGCAGCCAUACCGCGUGAGUGAAGAAGGUCUUCGGGUUGUAAAGCCCUUUUGUUGGGAAAGAAAAGCAGUAGGAUAAUACCCCGAUGUUUUGACGGUACCCAAAGAAUAAGCAACGGCUAACUUCGUG
rnacentral:rRNA from 1 species